GACGAACGCUGGCGGCGUGCUUAACACAUGCAAGUCGAACGGUGACCCUCGAGCUUGCUCGAGGUGAUCAGUGGCGAACGGGUGAGUAACACGUGAGUAACCUGCCCCAGACUCUGGGAUAACUCCGAGAAAUCGGUGCUAAUACCGGAUACGAGACGCACGGGCAUCUGUAGCGUCUGGAAAGAUUUAUCGGUCUGGGAUGGACUCGCGGCCUAUCAGCUUGUUGGUGGGGUAAUGGCCCACCAAGGCGACGACGGGUAGCCGGCCUGAGAGGGCGACCGGCCACACUGGGACUGAGACACGGCCCAGACUCCUACGGGAGGCAGCAGUGGGGAAUAUUGCACAAUGGGCGCAAGCCUGAUGCAGCGACGCCGCGUGGGGGAUGAAGGCCUUCGGGUUGUAAACCCCUUUCAGCAGGGAAGAAGCGAGAGU
rnacentral:rRNA from 1 species